CGUUAAGAUGAGCCAGUCGAGAUCGAGAGUGGUUAUCGGUGUUUCGUGCGAGGACCGUUGAUAUAUUAGUAGAAGGUUGUGAGUAGACUAAAAUCGCGAACUCUACAACGAACGAAUAAUUACUGCGAAAUGUUACAGUAGCGAAAUAUAUGAAAAAAAGUGACAAUAUGGAAAACAAGAAUUAAAGAAGGAAAAACGAAGGAAAAGUGGAAGUGGAGAAAAUUAAACCCUUACAAAUCCAAUAUAUAAUCACGAAGAGAAAGAAGAAAAAAUAGUGCUAAUUAUUUCUCUCACUGCGAAAAAAAAGAAACACAAAGAUAAAACAAAACAAUGAACUUUAAAUACAA